ACGUCUGCUACAUAGACUGCACUUUGCAGUAGACUAUUGUCAAUUUGCGGCAUAGAGCUCUUGUGACGGGGCAUCUUUGGAUCGCCUUGAAGCCGAGGAGGAAUAAUGGGCAUCGUUUCUGUUUACGUCCUUUAAGUGUUCACCUUCUUUGCUUCAGGACUCCUUCAAUAGAGCAGGGGGGCAAAGUCUCAGUGCAAUCCCAGGGACUUAGGAACACUAUGUAGACUGUUGAUCCAGAAGGACUCAGAGCAGCUCAUGGAGAUCAAUCAACUUUUUUUCAAAAUUGCUGGUCUCUCUGGAUUUGCCUGUCUUGAUGCUUUGCCUGAGGUCGCCUGAAUAGCCAGAGCACCUAAGAAGAG